UCGCCGUGUGCGUACGACAGCUGAAGCCCGGCGAGCCGGGGCUGGAAGUCCGGGGCCGUGGGGUGGAAAUGAAACAGACUGUGACCUUUCCUUUUCCUGCCCGGCUUCCCCGCGUAAAAACCGCCCUGAAGCACACCCCGAGCGUCGUUUCCGAUCAGCGUUUCCCACCUCACCUCACCCCACCCUGGGCCGUACAUGUUACAUAGCUUGUUGCAGGGUUUUCGCUGUGAUUUCCCCUAAGGGAUUACUCAUUUCGGCAGCGAUCAGAACUCCCCGCCCUGGUGGAGGUUACAGUCCUUGCCACCCUCCCCCCCUCCCCCUCAUGUCCAAGCUCCUGAGAAAUUAUCUGGUUUUCCGUCAUCCAGCAAUUGCCUUUCAGAUUCGUUUCUGCGCCUUGGUCUAGGAACCCCGAGCUUCGACGAUGGCGCUAAAAGAAUUCAGGUGAUUUCAUUCCACGCUGCCCUGGUAGGCUGUGCAAGGAAGGCCAUGAUUUCUUUUCCCUGGUGAUCACAGCUCAUCAUUAUUACUCAUUGCAGAACAGGUAUGUCGGUCAUAGCUCUGGUUAGCGCUGGUUGGCGCAUUACAGCUGAUUCUCUUGUUUAUCGGUUCUGCUUUUUGUAUUUCAUGAAAAUUGAGAUAAUCCCUGGGGGGGGGGGCCUGGAGGAGGGAAGGCAGUAUAAUGGGAUUGGGUUCUGCCCACAGGGUUAGAAUUUCCCAUUACUUACUGGCUUUGCAACUUGAGCUAGUUAUUUAUACAACCUCUGUUUUCCUUCUGUAAAGCAGAAUGAUAGCUUCCAACUGGUUAGGGUGGUUGGAGAUUUCAAUUUGUUUCUUGUCAUACCAAGAAGUAACUCACUGAGACUAUGGGCCAGGUACUGUACAAGGUGGUGGUUUAUUUGAAUCACUCUUAAUAUUGGUUACGUUAUAGUGUAGAUAUAAAAUAUUGAGGGGCAUUAGCUACAUUAUUAAGCCCUUAUUAUCUACAAGGUAGAUUCCAUUAGUAAACUCUUAUUAUCUACAAGGUAGAGUCUAUUAGUAUGAGUUUGCACACUAGGAAAGAGGUUAAAUAACUAUCCCUCAGCCACUGGAGGUGGGCUGGGAUCUAAAGCCAGUAAAUCACAAGCUUAGGCUCCAGAGUGUAGGGGAUGGUAUGGGAAUAUGUUGGGGUGCUCAAAAUUUCCAUCUGUACCCCAUACAGAAAAUCAAAGCACUCUGCAAAUGUAUGAUCAAAACCAAGCCCUCCCCUUUCAGAUUGUGCCACUGAAUUCUUCUUUAUACAGAAGCUGUGGACCUGCCAUUGCCAGACCGUAACAAAUACCCAGUGCACAGUGUAGAGCCGAGUGUUGUGGGAUGCACAGGAAGAUAACAGUAAGUGUUGGUUAUUGUUAGUGUUGAUAUUGGUAUUUGUAUUGUAGCUGGCCAACACGUGAGAGUGCUUUGUAAAAGUGUGUAUGACAUAUAGAGCAUUCUUAUCACUGCAAUUACCACUAUCGUAAUAAAGUUCCGUUGAAGCAAUAA